rnacentral:lncRNA from 1 species
AGACUUGGCCAAUUCCAACAUUUAUGAAACCAAGUUAUUGUGAUUUGAGCUUCCAUCUGAUGCAAGUAUUGGGAUCCACAUGAAUUCAUCUGCUACAUGGUCUUGAUGCAAGUGUUACUUUGAACCUGUGUCUAAUGGCUUAUUCUGAGCCAAUCAAGGAGUAUGUCAUCUGCUACAUGGGAAGAUUAAGAAGAAGACUGUGAAGUUGCUUGCUUGGACGU